ACUGUAAUGGUAGACAAUAAUCCAAGAGCACUAGGCGAUGACAAGAACAAACAAAGACCACUCGGUAUGGUCCCAAAUCUUGAGCUGGCUCUAGGAGAGGAUGAAACUACUACAACCACAGGAGUCCUUUUGCCCUUCAUGGCUGGACCUAGCGCCAGUGAAAAACAUAGAAGUAGCAAUAGCCAGAAGGCAGAAGAAGAGAAUGCAGCUUCUCUCUCACUAUCCUUGUCCUUCUCAUCCUUGGAGAAGGAACAACAACAACAACAAAGACAACAGCAGAAUCAGAGACGAGUAUUAAAUAAUCCAGGAAAUCUAUACUAUACUAAAAGGGGGAUAUAAGCCAUGGAGAGGGUGUCCACAUAGGAUAGAAAAAUCAACCAAUCAGAAAACCCGAAAUUGCCAUGUCAUCUCAUUUAUUUUUCGUAAAAAAUAAAAAAACAAUGCAAAGGUGAAAAUCGAACCCGGGUUAGUAUGAUAUAUAUAUAGGACAAUUACAUGAAUAAUCUUGCUUGGAUAGUAUCAUGAAUGUUUUAGUUGUUAGUCGAUAUGUGAGCAACAAAAAGUCGUUAACUUUUCAUGUAAAGCUGCUUCCUUUUUAUUGAUUACAUUCUCUCUUUUGUUAUUCAUGAAGGCUGAUAGAAGAGAUGGGAAUCGUUACAUUGGUCUGACAGGUCGUUAUAAAUUGGAGUCUGGAACUUGUAAUGUCUGCUCUGCUCCUUGUUCGUCUUGUGUGCAUCGUAAUGCGGGUUCAGUGUCAGAAGAGUCUCCGGGUGAAAACUCCCAUGGUGUAGUGGCGAGCCAGUGUUCUUUCAACGAGGGAGAUCUAUUGCGUUCUUCUCGCCUUAAUCUUGUUCAUGAUACUUCCUCUGAGCAUUCUGAGAGUCAAGAAGUUGUAAGGUCUUCUAAUCAUCAAGUCAAGAAAAGUGUUUUAGUUGAAAGCUCUACGCACUCAGUAAUUGGGAUGGUUGGGGAAUCGGGAGAGAAUAUUGUCUUAAAUAAGGGAGAGGAACCAAACACAUUAGCUAUGUCUGACUGUGAGAGUGCUGAUUCUGAACCGCAGGAAGUUGAUGUAAGUAAUGCUUUUUUGUUGCAAUAUUUUACUUUCAUCUCGCAGUUACAGAAAUCUCAAGUGAAAAUGUUGUCUUUGGUGUUGAGCAGGUGAAAAUUUGUGACACUUGUGGAGAUGCGGGCCGUGAGGAUUUGCUUGCUAUCUGCAGCAGAUGCAGUGAUGGUGCAGAACACACGUAAGCCUGUUUCAGUUAGUUCUUUUUGGAGUUUGAAUAUCAUAUUGUUAAUAGCGCAGCGCUUUAUUUGCUAGUGAUAUAGUUGCGUUUUCUUACUUUUAGCUAUUGCAUGCGAGUAAUGCUUAAAAAAGUUCCAGCGGGUGAUUGGCUUUGUGAAGAAUGCAAGUUUGCUGAGCAAGCAGAAAAGCAGAAGCGAGACAAAGGUGAAUAAUUUACCAUGCAUGUAGUGAAUUAGCGGAACUUGUCUUUCUCCUUUUUAUCUAAUGAAUUUGAGUUGAAACAUGCAGAAUCUAAGAGAAAGCAAGAAAGUGAGGCAAAUUUGAAUACACAGAGCUCCAGCAAAAGGCCCAUAGAUAGACCUGAGGCAGCUCCAGAUGCUAAAAGACAAGCAUUUGAGGCUCCAACAGGUUCACCAAAAAAACCUGUUCUCCCCAGGUUGCCCACUUUUUCCCGGGAAACAUCAUUUAAGCGCUUAGAGAAGACAACGAGAAAGCUAGCUCAUCACUCAUCUUUCAAUAGCCACUCCAGUGAUGACACAGAAAGCACACGAUCCACUGACUCACAGGUCCAAUCUCCUAAAGGUAGGAUAUAUGAUGUUGAAAAAAACUCUCAAACGCAGUUCUUCCUUGUUCUUGAUUAUUCUUUUUCAGGUAGUAUAAUAUUACCUUGUUAACAGCUUGUGCAGGCUCCCUUUUUAAGUCCAAGUCGUUUAAUUCUUCGAGCUCUAGACCAAAAGUGAGACCAGUGGAUGAUGUUAUGCCUAAGGAGGGGCUUUCUAGAAAAUUAGGUAGAUCAAUGUCAACUAGAUGUAUAGACGUAGGGAGCUCUGGUUGCAAUGACUCAAGAGUACAAGGUUCAAAGCAACUGAAAGAUCGGAGUACAGAAGCAUCCGGAGUCGAUCAGAAGCUAAUCUCACGUGGCAAUUCGUCCAGUUCCUAUGCAAAUAGUGCACGUGAUUUGAAGAGUUUGCAGUCUGAUGGUAAAGAAGGUAGCUUGACAAAGAAAGCCAGACAUCUAAGUCGAAACCGCCUGGAAGAUAUAGUUGCUUCUGGUACAUUUUCAUCUUACUGCUAUAUGCUUUUUGUUCUGCUAGUGAACUAUCUCCGCAUUUAAAGAUAUCAUGAUUGACACCUCGAGAUUUGUUUCUCACAUAUGCAGUGGGGGAUACACAUACGAAUGAAAAUAGCAAAGACGCUGUUGGUAGUCGCCGAAGGUCAUCUUUAAAAGACCUGUCAUCUCAAAAAAUUCAGACAGCCGAACCUGCUGAGACUUCAUGUUCCUCUGGAAGCAAUCUCUCUACCACGCGAAACAUUAGCGAGGAUGUUAAUAAAGGCAAUAGGUUGCGAGCAGCGGUCGAUGCUGCUCUCCGAAAAAAGCCUAGUUUCGGGAAGAACCGUGGUUUGGAGCAGUCUGAUUUGCCGUCAGUGUCUAAUGUGGAUUCUAGUUGCGAUAGGGCUCUUCAAAAUUUUCCCUCGAAGGUGCUGAGAGAUUGGCCUGUGGGAUUGCAAGGAGGGCAGGAGAUUGCAGUAAAUAGAAAACAGUCUACACUCGCUGGUGCUGAUGCAAUGGCUGCUCCUCAAUCUCUAGAGCCUGCAGUUCAUUUACAUUCGGUAAAGCCGGUCAUUAGAGAUUUGCCUGUGGGAUUGCAAAGAGGGCAUCCAAAUUUAAAUACCGACAAGCAGACGAUUGUAGUAAAUAGAAAACAGUCUACACUGGCUGGUACUGAUGCAAUUGCUGCUCCUCAAUCUGUAGAGCCUGUAGUUCAUUUACAUUCUGUAAAGCCGGUCAUGAGAGAUCUGCCGGUGGGAUUGCAAGGAGGGCAUCCAAAUUUACUGACAGACAAGCAGGCGAUUGCAGUAAAUAGAAAACAGUCUACACUCACUGGUGCUGAUGCAAUGGCUGCUCCUCAAUCUGUAGAGCCUGCAGUUCAUUUACAUUCUGUAAAGCCGGUCAUUAGAGAUUUUCCUGUGGGGUUGCAAAGAGGGCGUCCAAAUUUACAGACAGACAAGCAGACGAUUGCAGUAAAUAGAAAGCAGUUUCCACUCGCUAGUGCUGAUGCAAUGGCUGCUUCUCAAUCUGUAGAGCCUACGGUUCAUUUUCAUUCUGUAAAGCCUGUCAUGAGUGAUUUGCCUGGGGUUGACCCAUCUGUUCUGUCGACAACCUCAGCCAUCCCAGAGCCUGAAUACAUUUGGCAGUAUGGUUUUCAUUCCUUUUCGUGAAGAUCUCUGUUUUGGUUUUAUUGUUUUUGUUGAUAAACAUUAUUUUUCCUUUGACCAGAGGGGAGAUGGAGGUGCGGAAAAGCAGAAAUCUAUCGGCAAUGCAUUGUGGAAUGCAAGGGUAUCUAUCAACAUUAGCAUCACCCAAGGUUGCUGAAGUGGUGAACCAGUUUCCAGUAAAAGUGACCUUGAAUGAAGUACCCAGGCUAAGUACAUGGCCUUCGCAGUUUCAAGAUAUAGGUGCUAAGGAAGGCCAUGUGGCUCUUUUCUUCUUUGCCAAGGACAUCGUGAGGUGAAUUCAGAUCAUAUGUUUAUUCAUGUUUUAGUUUCUUCAAUGCUUUAUAUCCUAACGUAAUUGUUGCCUGUUACGCACAGUUAUGAGAGAAGUUACAAGCCCCUAGUAGAUAACAUGAUCCAGAAAGAUUUAGCUCUAAAAGGAAGCCUCGAGGGUGUUGAGCUUUUGAUUUUUGCCUCCAAUCAGCUUCCUCGGAACUGUCAGCGUAAGAACUCUUUACAUCAUGAACAUACAUUUGUUGCAAGUUUCACUGUUCUCAGUAGGGUUGAACUUCUGUAUUAAGUGCUUAGAGGUGCUAUAUCCUUGGCGUUUACAGGUUGGAACAUGUUCUUUUUCCUUUGGGGUGUAUUUCGAGGAAAAAACAAGAAAUGUUCUGAUCCACUCAAGAACAAACCUCUUCCGGCGUCUAAUGUUUUGCCAAAUAUGGGGAGAGUGUUUUCUACACGUGAGGGCUUUUACAAUGAAAAUCCAAGCAACAGAGAGUCCUUGCAAUCGUGCAUGAAGGUUGGUUAUUCUAGUCCUCUAAUUCACACCUGCCAUCUGUCUCUCGUUCUCUAUCACACCUCUAGUUAUACGGUUCGUUUCUGAAUCACGUAUGCCGUUUGUUUUUAUGCUCUAGUUAUGUAAAUAUCUUGCUCGUUAUCUAUUUUAGUUAUUAAGAGUGUUCAGGACCGUUUUGGACAGUUGCUAGGUUUAUCUAAAUAGUGUGCACAUAUUUGAUGGAUUCAUGGGUUUGAACAGGAGGAGAAUGCUAAAGAGGGUGAAGCGGGCGGUGGAGAUAGUGGAGCGGUGGAAGAAACUGAGGAAGGAGAGAUAGGUUCUUGCCCACAGUUGAAGGAUGAGAAGAUUUCAGGUAACAAUAAGGGUUUGCUUUCGGCUGUAAUGAGGUCAGGAAACAGAACAAACUUUUAGUUGUGUUCAUGAAUUGUUUGUUAUUGGAAUUGACAGGGCCUAGGAGAGUAAAUUCAUCUGACGUGAACCAUAAUGUGGACAUGGAUGAUCUGAAUAGUGAAGGGUUGUGUGAAGGACCAGCGAAUAAAAAGCUGAAGACAGGCACAGGAGUAGAAACCGAAUGUAACAUAUUUAGGAGGGAUACAUCUGGUCCCCGUCCCCGUGAGGAGGAAAAUGUGAUCAAGAAGAACCCAGUUGCAACGGAAAGGAUCGUGUUCCCUUUGGAUUUGAAUGAUGGAAAGGAAGAGGAUACUGUAAUGGUAGACAAUAAUCCAAGAGCACUAGGCGAUGACAAGAACAAACAAAGACCACUCGGUAUGGUCCCAAAUCUUGAGCUGGCUCUAGGAGAGGAUGAAACUACUACAACCACAGGAGUCCUUUUGCCCUUCAUGGCUGGACCUAGCGCCAGUGAAAAACAUAGAAGUAGCAAUAGCCAGAAGGCAGAAGAAGAGAAUGCAGCUUCUCUCUCACUAUCCUUGUCCUUCUCAUCCUUGGAGAAGGAACAACAACAACAACAAAGACAACAGCAGAAUCAGAGACGAGUAUCUG
rnacentral:lncRNA from 1 species